rnacentral:rRNA from 1 species
AUGGAGAAAGGAGGUGUCUGCUCCCCUGAUGUGGUGUCAUAUACCACGGUCAUCCACGGCCUCCUUAAGGAAGGGGAAGUAAGCAAGGCAUGCAGUCUGUUUGAUGAAAUGGUGCAGCAAGGGGUUGUGCCUAAUGUGGUGACAUACAGCUCGAUUAUUGAUGCGCUGUGCAAGGCUGGAGCGAUGGACAAGACAGAGUUGGUCCUUUGGCAGAUGGUUGAUAGUGGCAUCCAACCGGAUAACGUGACAUAUACUAGCAUGAUCCACGGAUAUUCCACGUUGGGCCGGUGGAAAGAAGCAGGCAAAAUGUUCAGAGAAAUGACAAGCCGGGGUAUCAUACCAGAUGUUGUUACUUGGACCUCAUUCAUGACCUCCCUCUGCAAGCAUGGAAGAAGCAGAGAAGCUACAGGAAUUAUUGAUUACAUGUCUGCCAAGUGCCACAAGCCUAAUAUCGUCUUGUACUCUAUUCUGUUUCAUGGAUAUGCUACAGAAGGAUGCUUUGAUGAUAUGAUUAAUCUCCUUGACUCGAUGGCAAACAACGCUAUUGUUCCCAAUCGCCAGGUUUUCAGCAUUUUAGUUGAUGCAUAUGCUAAACGUGGAAUGAUGGACGAAGCUAUGCCCAUAUUUACUGGAAUGUGUGAACAAGGAGUGAUCCGAGAUGUUUACAGAUGGGGACAAGGAGUGAGUCCAGAGUCUACAGUAGGUAGGCUGGCGGAUGCUUUGAACAAGUUCGUCAGAUGA